rnacentral:rRNA from 1 species
CAGUCGCCGCGGGAAUACGUAGGUGGCAAGCGUUGUCCGGAAUUAUUGGGCGUAAAGGGCUCGCAGACGGUUUCUUAAGUCUGAUGUGAAAGCCCCCGGCUCAACCGGGGAGGGUCAUUGGAAACUGGGAAACUUGAGUGCAGAAGAGGAGAGUGGAAUUCCACGUGUAGCGGUGAAAUGCGUAGAGAUGUGGAGGAACACCAGUGGCGAAGGCGACUCUCUGGUCUGUAACUGACGCUGAGGAGCGAAAGCGUGGGGAGCGAACAGGAUUAGAUACCCGAGUAGUCCCUGUCUCUUAUAC